AGUCGUAACAAGGUAACCGUAGGUGAACCUGCGGUUGGAUCAUUAAAGAAAUGAUGAGGCUGCAUUCCUUGCCGCAAGGUGAGGUGUGCAUGCCACUUACCCAACCUUUUGUGAACUGUGUUGUCUCUGGCGGCCGGGUGGGUUGGUCAAGUUCAACACUUGACUGUCUGCUUGUCAGCUAGGGUGUGCCCUUGGGGGCCCCCCUUGCCGUGGACAAACCGCCAACUGUGUCCAAACCUAUGCCUUUGAUUCUUGUCUCUGAUGCAUCUGUUGAAAUUAAACAGAAACAACUUUUGGCAACGGAUCUCUUGGCUCUC
rnacentral:misc_RNA from 1 species